AUUGAACGCUGGCGGCAGGCCUAACACAUGCAAGUCGAGCGGAUGAAGGGAGCUUGCUCCUGUAUUCAGCGGCGGACGGGUGAGUAAUGCCUAGGAAUCUGCCUGGUAGUGGGGGAUAACGUCCGGACACGGGCGCUAAUACCGCAUACGUCCUGAUGGAGAAAGUGGGGGAUCUUCGGACCUCACGCCAUCAGAUGAGCCUAGGUCGGAUUAGCUAGUUGGUGGGGUAAAGGCCUACCAAGGCGACGAUCCGUAACUGGUCUGAGAGGCUGAUCAGUCACACUGGAACUGAGACACGGUCCAGACUCCUACGGGAGGCAGCAGUGGGGAAUAUUGGACAAUGGGCGAAAGCCUGAUCCAGCCAUGCCGCGUGUGUGAAGAAGGUCUUCGGAUUGUAAAGCACUUUAAGUUGGGAAGAAGAGCAGUAAGUUAAUACCUUGCUGUUUUGACGUUACCAACAGAGUAAGCACCGGCUAACUUCGUG
rnacentral:rRNA from 1 species